UACGUAGGGUGCGAGCGUUGUCCGGAAUUAUUGGGCGUAAAGGGCUCGUAGGCGGUUUGUCGCGUCGGGAGUGAAAACCUCGGGCUUAACUCGGGGCUUGCGGUCGAUACGGGCAGGCUCGAGUUCGGUAGGGGAGACUGGAAUUCCUGGUGUAGCGGUGAAAUGCGCAGAUAUCAGGAGGAACACCGGUGGCGAAGGCGGGUCUCUGGGCCGAUACUGACGCUGAGGAGCGAAAGCGUGGGGAGCGAACAGG
rnacentral:rRNA from 1 species